rnacentral:rRNA from 1 species
UGUGUAGGCGGUUGUUUAAGUUUGGUGUGAAAUCUCCCGGCUUAACUGGGAGGGUGCGCCGAAUACUGAAUGACUAGAGUGCGGGAGAGGAGAGUGGAAUUCCUGGUGUAGCGGUGAAAUGCGUAGAUAUCAGGAGGAACACCGGCGGUGUAGACGGCUCUCUGGACCGUAACUGACGCUGAGACACGAAAGCGUGGGUAGCAAACAGGAUUAGAUACCCUGGUAGUCCACGCCUUAAACGAUGCAUAUUUGGUGUGGGCAGUUCAUUCUGUCCGUGCCGGAGCUAACGCGUUAAAUAUGCCGCCUGGGGAGUACAGUCGCAAGGCUGAA